rnacentral:rRNA from 1 species
UUACUGAAAUGUAAUAACUUCUAUUGAAAGGUUCCAGAGUAGGCGCUACAACGCCGAAAUGACCUUCUCACCCUUGUGUACUCACUAUGUUGCUUUGGCGGGUCGACCUGGUUCCGACCCAGGCGGCCGGCGCCCCCAGCCUUAACUGGCCAGGACGCCCGGCUAAGUGCCCGCCAGUAUACAAAACUCAAGAAUUCAUUUUGUGAAGUCCUGAUAUAUCAUUUAAUUGAUUAAAACUUUCAACAACGGAUCUCUUGGUUCUGGCAUCGAUGAAGAACGCAGCGAAAUGCGAUAAGUAAUGUGAAUUGCAGAAUUCAGUGAAUCAUCGAAUCUUUGAACGCACAUUGCGCCCUCUGGUAUUCCGGAGGGCAUGCCUGUUCGAGCGUCAUUUCAACCCUCAAGCUCUGCUUGGUAUUGGGCAACGUCCGCUGCCGGACGUGCCUUGAAGACCUCGGCGACGGCGUCCUAGCCUCGAGCGUAGUAGUAAAAUAUCUCGCUUUGGAGUGCUGGGCGACGGCCGCCGGACAAUCGACCUUCGGUCUAUUUUUCCAAGGUUGACCUCGGAUCAGGUAGGGAUACCCGCUGAACUUAAGCAUAUCAAUAAGCGGAGGAAAAGAAACCAACAGGGAUUGCCUUAGUAACGGCGAGUGAAGCGGCAAUAGCUC